CUGAUGUGGGCUGGUAGUGCCCCCCUGCCCUGAGACCUGCAGCAGCACAGUGCUGGAGUAGCUGUGGUUCCUGAGGGCUGCGUGAUACAGGUUCACUCCAUAGGAGAGAGAGGGAGAAAUCAGUCGCUCCUUGAGGAGAUCCGUCUCCAUCACUCAACCAGCUGCAUCCCUUCAUAAAUCUUCCCUAACUUGCUGAAAUGUCUUUCGAUGGAUGAAGCAACGGAGAGUAGAAGAACAGAGCCUGGCAGGCUGCUUGCACAACUCCUGGAACAGGUGGAAGUGAGAUAGCAGAUAACAGGACUGCAGGAGUGUCUGCAUGGCAGGUUUUUGGGACUGGAUGUCUUCCCUCCCAACACCUGGUGGCUUUGUCCAGCUGCAGCCUUGGGAGGACGAUCUGCCUGUGUUUGGCUCGUGUCCUUGGGGGCUGAAAAUGAAAAACAACAAGAAGAGAAAACUUGCUGUCAGCAAUACUCUGUAUAUCCAGAGCUGUGCUAGGGAACCGCCAAGCUUCCUGAUACCCUGUGUUGGCUGAGAGGCAAUGAGAUUAAGGAAAGCAUAACUUGCAUAAAGAACUUUUUUGAAGGGCAAAACAAAACAGAUCAUUUCCUCGAUUUAAUGUGAGCCAAUUAUGGCUCAUGGGCUGUUAACUUCAUCACCGCUUCUUCCAAGAAAGACGUUGGGUAAAACGAACCAGCACAGCUCCGCGUGCGCCCGGCAAAGCCUCAGCCCUGGCCAUUUAUCCCCGCGGAUGGAAAAAAGCUAAAGCCUAUGUCACACAAAUGCCCUCUAAAGUAUCCAACCACUUGUUGUACAUCUGCUGACGGAUACCAACUGGAAAGGAGAUUAGCGCUCAGACUCCCGCGCUGGGCUGUCUGCUGCUCCUAAUGAGGACCAGAUUGCAGCCCCCGCCGGCGCUGCACCUCCAGCGGAUGGCGGGAUGGGGAGGUGCCAGGGCGCGUGCCAGCAGCGUGGAACCGUGUGGGCUGCGGGAUGGGGCUGGUGCUGCUGGGACCUGCAGUGGGGCUGGGGGUGGCAUGGGGUGCUGGGGAUGCUCGGAGGAGCGCAGGAGCUGCGCUUGGCCUUCUGCACGUUCACCCCAACUUGGGUGCGAUGGCAUUUCCAGAUGGAUUGCUGCAUCCCUGCGCUCUGAACGCCACCAGCUUGGGGCCAGCACUCAGCCGGGGUGAUAUCCCACAGCAGCAUCACAUGGGAUGCGUUACCUGUCAUCCCGCAUGCUAUCUCCCACCCUGCUUCUCCUUGGGAAUUAAAGCGCUUUAUGGCACUAAACUAAAAGUAAUGGGGGCCGUGUCCAGGGCUGUCCCCAGCUGUCCCGCAUCCCAAACCACCUCCACCUACUGGGGGCUGUGAGCAGCACGGCGCUGUGCCCGCCGCCGUCUCCUGAAGUGCUCCGUCUCCUGGCUGAGGGCCAGUGCAGGAAUGUUAACGUUUUUCUGUGGCUAAUUCGGGGCUGUGGGCAGGACCCGGCGCUGGCGCUUGUUUUAUUUUAUGUUUCUUUUCAACAGCUGUUGAAUUGAAAAUUAAGAUGUGCUGGGACCUAAUCCCAAAUAAAAAUGCCAGUGCACCCCCCUGGGGCCCUGGGGUUAAGCUGUGGGGUGGGCAGCAUGUGUCCCCAUCCCAGGGCUGGGGAAAGACAGGCACGGUGCUUCCCACCUGCGGCCGGCUGGGAGGGCUUGUAAAGGACUUGCCACCAUGGCCAUGAGGUUUUCUUAUUUCUUUUCUUUUUUUUUUUUUUUCCUGGAUUCUUCCGGAUUUGGGGCUUUGGGUGUUUUUAGUGGUGGCUGGAGACGGGCUCUGUGGUGCGUGGGGAAGUAGAAAGGAAAGAUCAUGAAAUCAUUAAGGCUGGAAAAGGCCUCUCAGAUUCCCAGCCCACCCCACCGUGCCCACUGACUGACUCAUCCCUGAGUGCCACAUCUCUGUGGUUCUGGAACACCUCUGGGACGGUGACCCCAGCACUCCCUGGACAGCUGUGCAGUGCAACAGCGUUCUUUCUCAUCAGGAAUUUCUCCUGCUAUCCAAACUGAACCUCCCUCCCUUCUACACCUUGUCUUAAAACGAUGAGCUAGGAUCCUCACGUCAGGGGGAGCAGAAAAUGGCUGCAUCCUCAGAGCAGGGGAUAGGGAGCUUUCUGUGAGCCCGUUUCACAGGAACCUUCUAACCCCAAUGAUCUUUAUGGGUCCCAUCCAGCUUGGGAUGUUCAGUGAUUCCACGAACCCAUUCAUCCUCUUGUAAAAUCUUGCAGAUGGAAUCUGGAGAUAUGAAGAUGCAUUUCUGCUCCACUGGCCAUCUAUGAACAGGAUGAUUGUGCUACAGCUGCCUGCAGAUCCUGGGGUGAAUCUUCAGCAUUCCUAGGCAGAUUUCACCUGUAUUAUUGGCAUAAGUGCACCCUGCCCUGCCAUCAUGGUGUGUCCCCCGCUGCCCCGUGCUUUAUCAUUCGAGGUUAUGGGAAGCACACAAAAUAUUUUGGUUUGCUCGUGAUGGUCGUGCAGAGAUUUUGGGGAUCAGGAUGUGCUGCAUGCAUCAAAGCACCUUCACCUCUAAGGCAGGCGGAGGUGAUGCACAGGGGGCUCCCAAAACUCAUUUCCCCUGGGAAAGCAUCCUAAGCCCUACACAUCCCAAAUGCAUACCGGGUCCUGCGGGAUGAGACUGGAGAAUGUGGGAGCGAGAAGGAGCGGGGCUUGUAUGGGAAAGGAUGGGGAGGUGCUGCUGUGCUUUUCGGGGAGCCCCCAGCACCCUGCCUGCUGCACAGAGCUCAUGUGAAACUCAUUAAAAGUGUGAGGAGAGGGAGCACGAUGGUUGGGAAUCGUUUUGUUUGGGUUUCUAAAACGUGCUCAUGAAAACACUGUGUGGUUUUCUGACAAAUUUGAAACAGUGCUAUUCAAUUCACUCCAGUGUUGCUACUGUUGAUCUAGCAGACUGUAAAGCAUUUAUUGGAGUUGCUUGAGGCGAACUUAAGCAUCUGUGGAAUAACAAGUCCAGGAAGUAAUUGCAUCCACAAGGAAAAUAUUUUUAUGUAUAAUUCAGUGACCCAUUUUAUAAACAUUGCGGUUCCACCUUGGACUCUUUUUUUUUUUUUCUUCUUCUUUUUUUCCCCAUUUUUUUCCCCUUUUCACCCACAGCCUUCCCCCAUCCAAGCGCCUGAGGUCGGCCAAGUCUGUGGGGUUGGGUUUGGUGG